rnacentral:rRNA from 1 species
ACGGGAGGCAGCAGUCGGGAAUAUUGCGCAAUGGAGGAAACUCUGACGCAGUGACGCCGCGUGCAGGAAGAAGGUUUUCGGAUUGUAAACUGCUUUAGACAGGGAAGAAGAAGUGACAGUACCUGUAGAAUAAGCUCCGGCUAACUACGUGCCAGCAGCCGCGGUAAUACGUAGGGAGCGAGCGUUAUCCGGAUUUAUUGGGUGUAAAGGGUGCGUAGACGGGGAAUUAAGUUAGUUGUGAAAUCCCACGGCUCAACUGUGGAACUGCAACUAAAACUGGUUUUCUUGAGUGCUGGAGAGGAAAGUGGAAUUCCUAGUGUAGCGGUGAAAUGCGUAGAUAUUAGGAGGAACACCAGUGGCGAAGGCGACUUUCUGGACAGAAACUGACGUUGAGGCACGAAAGUGUGGGGAGCAAACAGGAUUAGAUACCCUGGUA